UACGUAGGGCGCAAGCGUUAUCCGGAAUUAUUGGGCGUAAAGAGCUCGUAGGCGGUUUGUCGCGUCUGCUGUGAAAGACCGGGGCUCAACUCCGGUUCUGCAGUGGGUACGGGCAGACUAGAGUGCAGUAGGGGAGACUGGAAUUCCUGGUGUAGCGGUGAAAUGCGCAGAUAUCAGGAGGAACACCGAUGGCGAAGGCAGGUCUCUGGAACGCAACUGACGCUGAGACGCGAAAGCGUGGGGAGCAAACAGG
rnacentral:rRNA from 1 species